rnacentral:lncRNA from 1 species
AAACAGUAUACAAUAUCAAGUAAUAUAUGUCAUUGUGUCUCUUUCCUUUUCCUAUUAAAUCAGAUUUUUUUCCCUCUUGUUUGUUUUCACCCACAGAUAUAUAGAAGGCACAACCUUGUGGUCAUAACUAGAUCCCUGGCUUCUCACUGCAAAAUAAGAAACUAUCAUUAAAGAGUGGCUGAACAUAUUUUUCACAAAAUAAAGUGAGACUCCUGACCAAGGUAAUGAUGAUAGGCUCAAGGCUCUAUGCAGGAGAAUCUGAGAACCAAGAAUGAUGUAAAGCAAUGACAUAUGAACACUUAGGAGGUAGACUGAACUAGAGGCAGAAAAUCUAAGUUCUACCAGGAUUAUGCUCCAACAUAUGUAAACUAAGUUCAUGCUGCCUCUUGAUUGACUCGCUGCCAGACGUCCUCUGCAAGCCCCUGAUGGAAUGUUUCAAAGGCCCUCCUGUGGGAAGUUGUUUGGAUCACACAUAUCACAAAAAGAGAAAAAAAUCAAGGCAAGCCUAGGCCAGCUCAUGGAUUUGAAGUCAUCAAACUAUAUAAUCAGAGAUGCUUAGAUUUAGAAGGAACUGUAGAGGUCAUAUCAAUAGAUAUACAUGGAAUGAAUAUUGGUCUAAUGCAUGAAAGAUCCAGUGAAUCUAAUAAAAGCCCUACUGAAUUGCCUGCUAUAUUGCCUGGAAUUGUUAUUUACUUUUCAUGUAUAUUAAUUAACACUUCUGUACCCUUCACUCAGUGUUUGCAUCAUGCCUUGUGUAUGGGACAUAGUUAAGGAGUCCUUGGUACAUCUUUAUUGAAUUUAUACUGUCAGAGAUAUCUGUGCUAAAUGGGGAGGAGCAGAUAUUCA